ACACUAGUGUCUAUGAAGAGAUAGAGUAGAAAGACGUAGGUGAAGGGGAAAGGCUUUUUCAAAGACGAAGCUGAAGGGGAAAGGGUUCUUCAAUCAAUUGAAUCGGUGGAGAUCAAGACGCAUGGCAGUCCAUUGACGCAGUCCACUUCCUUUCUCAACAAAGCAAUCACGCUUUCCAUUGAAUCAAUUUGUAAUCUGCUUCGAGUGCUUCGACUUGGACUUGGCUUCAAUUUCUGAUUGUUCAUCUGUUCUAUUUGCGUAGGCCCUUUCGAGGUUCUUCAAAGCCACACGCUGCCGAUCUUUCAAAGGUAUCCACGGCCUAAGAAGGAGUGCCAGUCCUUCUCUCUUAUAUAUAACGACAGGUCACUGGAUUCGAUUUGUAAAGAUAAAGAUGAAGCUGGGCAAUGGUUUAUUGGUUUAAAAGCAUUAAGUGGCCAUCAACGAAAGUGGAGAACAGAAUCAAGGAGUGAUGGUAUUCCAUCUGAAGCUAAUAGUCCCCGAACAUACACUCAAAGAAGUUCUCCUUUGAACUCUCCAUUUGGUAGUGGUGAUAGCUUGCAGAAGGUAUGAUUUCUAGUGUUGCACACAUGCAGAAAGUUCACCUUGAGACACGCAUAGGCACCUUUAUGUAAAAACAAAUGCACAUGGACAUAGUUCUCCUUAAGAAUGCUUAAACUGGUCUACAUUUUCCUAUAAGUUUUACUUACUAUUUUCCUUUUUUGUUUCAUUGGUUGAAGCCAUAUGUUAUUAAAGCUUGUGAUUUCAUUCAAUUCAAUUGAAAGAUUGCUGGCUGUUGCUUUACACUUGCUCCUCAUGUUAAAAUUAAAGAAAAUCAGAGAAGAACUUGAAUGUAUUUGCAAUCUGAUGCAAUUGCUCUGUUGGACUGAGCUGUGGCUGCAACUGCUGCAGCUGUUCUGUUGUUUUGAGCUGUGGCCAUGGCUGUGGCCUUUGCUGCAGCUCUACCUUGACUUGUAAUGCUUUAGCCAACUGCCCAUGUUGUGGAUAUGGCUACAGCCAUACAGAGCUUGUGUCCUUCAAUUGUCUUGCUGAUCUGACCUCCUAAACUUGCUGGUAGUUACAUAAAUAUGGUUGACAUUCAGAUUUGGCAUACCUUAUCCUACCCUUAGAACCCAUUUUUAUUUAGCAUUCAAGUUUGUAUUUUGUUAGAAUUCAAGUAAUAACAAUUUUAUCAUAAUUAGUAAAAAUUACCAA